CUACGGGUUGCAGCAGUGGGGAAUAUUGGGCAAUGGGCGCAAGCCUGACCCAGCAACGCCGCGUGAGGGAAGAAUGUCUUCGGAUUGUAAACCUCUGUCCUUAGGGACGAAAAAAAUGACGGUACCUAAGGAGGAAGCUCCGGCUAACUACGUGCCAGCAGCCGCGGUAAUACGUAGGGAGCAAGCGUUGUCCGGAAUUAUUGGGCGUAAAGGGUGCGUAGGCGGUAAUCCAAGUCAGAUGUGAAAGACCCGGGCUUAACUCGGGAGGUGCAUUUGAAACUGGGUUACUUGAGUACAGGAGAGGUAAGUGGAAUUCCUAGUGUAGCGGUGAAAUGCGUAGAUAUUAGGAGGAACACCAGUGGCGAAGGCGACUUACUGGACUGUCACUGACGCUGAGGCACGAAAGCGUGGGGAGCAAACAGGAUUAGAUACCCUCGUAGUC
rnacentral:rRNA from 1 species